CACGUAGGGCGCGAGCGUUGUCCGGAAUUAUUGGGCGUAAAGAGCUCGUAGGCGGCCUGUUGCGUCCGCUGUGAAAGCCCGGGGCUUAACCCCGGGUCGCAGUGGAUACGGGCAGGCUAGAGGUAGGUAGGGGAGAAUGGAAUUCCCGGUGUAGCGGUGAAAUGCGCAGAUAUCGGGAGGAACACCGGUGGCGAAGGCGGUUCUACUGGGC
rnacentral:rRNA from 1 species